AACGAACGCUGGCGGCAGGCUUAACACAUGCAAGUCGAGCGCCUCGCAAGAGGAGCGGCAGACGGGUGAGUACCGCGUGGGAACGUACCCUUAUCUUCGGAAUAGCUCUGGGAAACUGGAAGUAAUACCGAAUGUGCCCUUAGGGGGAAAGAUUUAUCGGAUAAGGAUCGGCCCGCGUUGGAUUAGCUAGUUGGUGGGGUAAAGGCCUACCAAGGCGACGAUCCAUAGCUGGUCUGAGAGGAUGAUCAGCCACAUUGGGACUGAGACACGGCCCAAACUCCUACGGGAGGCAGCAGUGGGGAAUAUUGGACAAUGGGCGCAAGCAUGAUCCAGCCAUGCCGCGUGAGUGAUGAAGGCCUUAGGGUUGUAAAGCUCUUUCACCGGAGAAGAUAAUGACGGUAUCCGGAGAAGAAGCCCCGGCUAACUUCGUG
rnacentral:rRNA from 1 species